UUCCAAAUUGUUGUUGUGUAACUCCUGACCAUCUUUCGGUUACGAGUUAGAAAGAAGAAAAAAGAAAUGGUUCGAAGUGGGAACGAAGCCAAACAAAACCAUUUUCCGAGUUAUUAAGAACCCGAGUCCGGUCGAUGACGCCUCUGGAGGAAUAUUCUUACGUAGAUAAUAACAAGAAAGAAAGUGAAAGUGUCCUGAAUGAAAUUGGUUGGGUGUCUCACUCUCACUCUACGUGCUGCGCAAUUACUAAAUACUAAAUGACUUUGCAUGCGGGGGCCCAUAAUCAUCAACGGUCCGUAACCAACCAGCUAUAGACGACGUGUUGCGUGAUGAGGUGUUUUCUUCUUUUUCUUUUUCUUACUAGUCACUUGUUGACGGACGGCCAAGGUCGGCGUUGUAAAACCAUCAAAAGAAGAAGAGGACCCACUCGAGUUUGAAAAGACGACGACUCGAGUCCUCUUCUUGUGCUACUGUACGUUACGCAAAACGAAGCCGAGAUGACGGGGCGGGAGUUGAUGCGUUUAGAGCUUCUGCCAAACGAUUAUGGCCGGGCGGGAAAACAAAAAAAAGAAGAUGUUUCACCAACAACAG